rnacentral:tRNA from 1 species
GGCUGUACCUCAGUGGCAGAGGGCUUGCCUAGCAUGUGUGAGGUACUGGGUUCGAUCCUUAGCGCCA